UACUAUUAUAAAAAGGAGAAGUGAUGUACAAAAAAGUAAUUUGACCAGGGGUACACAUUUUUAAGAAGCAUGUACAAGGGACUGCAAGCUGGAAAAAGAGGAAGUUCAUCAGAUUUUUAAGACGCUCCAGGGGUAUAAUGGGUAAUUUGGAAUCCAUAACCUUAAUUGCAGGAGAGAGAAAUGACACCGUCAUUUGGAAAAACGCAAUAAACCCAUUGAUUCCCUUUCUUCCUUCACUUUCAGUUACAGUUUCAACAUAAAUAGAAGGGUGUAAAUCUAGGAGUCUCGCAUUCCCCAUUAUCUUUUGGCUUCUGCGACUCUUACUUCACCGUCAUCUUCAAUCGUUGGUUCACACAGAAGACGACUGGUGGAUUCUAGGCAAUGACGAUGAACACCAGGCGGCGAUGGUGGGUCGAUUUAGUUUACGCCAAACCUCAGUCAUGCCUUUUUGUUGGUUCCAUACGAAGGUGUUAAGGUAAUGCGAUUUUGUAUAUGAGAUAGGCAAUCAUUAUUGUCUGUUAUGGGCUCAAUUUUCCUUGUUUCUGAUUUAGGGUUUCUAAAUAUGCUUUACGACGAUUUGUUGAGUUUGAAGAGAUAACUGGUGUUCACAAUGCAAUCAAGGUCUAAGUAGGAUGAUUGAUGAUUGUCGGAAAAAAGGUGUCGAAGGUGAUUGGAUCGUCAAAAGAGAUUUCGCCACCAUUUUUUUCAGAUGUAGCUCGUAUGCAUAAGGAUUUUUAUGAGACAUAAAGGGAGCAGACAUCUUGGAACACUUGAAAGGCUUUCUUACUCAUGAUGUUGCCAUGACUCUUGCUGUUGUUGCUCUCUAUGCGGAUGGCCCUACAGCCAUUAGAGAUGGUAUGCCAAUAGU